rnacentral:misc_RNA from 1 species
AAAGCCAAUGUGGAUGUCACAAACUGUUUGAUGAUACCGAACCUCUCCUUGUCACAGCCAAGCACAUCUCUUUUAAGUUUGGAUGGAAGAGGUGACACUGGCAAGCGAUUAGUUCAUCAUUCAGCGUCUGAAACUCUGGCAUCUCGAGACUAUUACUCUAUGUUUCCGAAGAGCAAAAGUGGGAUGAUGAGUGAAAAGACUAGUACCAAGUGCCUAGCCUCAACCGGUGAAUGUCACUG